AAAAAAGGUAAGCUACUAAGAGCGAAUGGUGGAUGCCUUGACUGGUAAAGGCGAUGAAGGACGUACUAGACUGCGAUAAGCUACGGGGAGCUGUCAAGAAGCUUUGAUCCGUAGAUUUCCGAAUGGGGCAACCCAAUGUAUAGAGAUAUACAUUACCUAUAUAGGAGCGAACGAGGGGAAUUGAAACAUCUUAGUACCCUCAGGAAAAGAAAUCAAUAGAGAUUGCGUCAGUAGCGGCGAGCGAAAGCGCAAGAGGGCAAACCCAGUGCUUGCACUGGGGGUUGUAGGACUGCAAUGUGCAAGAGGUGAGUUUAGCAGAACAUUCUGGAAAGUAUAGCCAUAGAGGGUGAUAGUCCCGUAUGCGAAAAACAAACCUUAGCUAGCAGUAUCCUGAGUAGGGCGGGACACGAGAAAUCCUGUCUGAAGCUGGGUCGACCACGAUCCAACCCUAAAUACUAAUACCAGAUCGAUAGUGUACAAGUACCGUGAGGGAAAGGUGAAAAGAACUGAGGUGAUCAGAGUGAAAUAGAACCUGAAACCAUUUGCUUACAAUCAUUCAGAGCCCUAUGUAGCAAUACAGGGUGAUGGACUGCCUUUUGCAUAAUGAGCCUGCGAGUUGUGGUGUCUGGCAAGGUUAAGCAAACGCGAAGCCGUAGCGAAAGCGAGUCUGAAUAGGGCGCUUAGUCAGAUGCUGCAGACCCGAAACGAAGUGAUCUAUCCAUGAGCAAGUUGAAGCUAGUGUAAGAACUAGUGGAGGACUGAACCCAUAGGCGUUGAAAAGCCCCGGGAUGACUUGUGGAUAGGGGUGAAAGGCCAAUCAAACUUCGUGAUAGCUGGUUCUCUCCGAAAUAUAUUUAGGUAUAGCGUUGUGUCGUAAUAUAAGGGGGUAGAGCACUGAAUGGGCUAGGGCAUACACCAAUGUACCAAACCCUAUCAAACUCCGAAUACCUUAUAUGUAAUCACAGCAGUCAGGCGGCGAGUGAUAAAAUCCGUCGUCAAGAGGGAAACAACCCAGACUACCAGCUAAGGUCCCUAAAUCUUACUUAAGUGGAAAACGAUGUGAAGUUACUUAAACAACCAGGAGGUUGGCUUAGAAGCAGCCAUCCUUUAAAGAAAGCGUAAUAGCUCACUGGUCUAGUGAUUUUGCGCGGAAAAUAUAACGGGGCUAAAGUAAGUACCGAAGCUGUAGACUUGCGCACAACUUAGAUUAUUUAAGUUUAGAAUAUGAGAAACUAAGUUAUAUGUUUAGUUAUAUUUUUACUGAUUUUUAUAGAGUAAAGAUAGAAAUAAAACUUAGUAAAAUCAGUAAAAAUAUUCUUAGACUAAAGUUAAGUAGUUUAAGUUGUGUGCAAGUGGUAGGAGAGCGUUCUAUUUGCGUCGAAGGUAUACCGGUAAGGAGUGCUGGAGCGAAUAGAAGUGAGCAUGCAGGCAUGAGUAGCGAUAAUUAAUGUGAGAAUCAUUAACGCCGUAAACCCAAGGUUUCCUACGCGAUGCUCGUCAUCGUAGGGUUAGUCGGGUCCUAAGUCGAGUCCGAAAGGGGUAGACGAUGGCAAAUUGGUUAAUAUUCCAAUACCAACAUUAGUGUGCGAUGGAAGGACGCUUAGGGCUA
rnacentral:rRNA from 1 species